rnacentral:rRNA from 1 species
UACGGAGGGUGCAAGCGUUGUUCGGAAUCACUGGGCGUAAAGGGCGUGUAGGCGGCCCGCUAAGUCUGAUGUGAAAGCCCGGGGCUCACCCCCGGAAGGGCAUUGGAAACUGGCGGACUCGAGUCCCGGAGAGGAGGGUGGAAUUCCUGGUGUAGCGGUGAAAUGCGUAGAUAUCAGGAGGAACACCAAUGGCGAAGGCAGCUCGCUGGGACGGUACUGACGCUGAGGCGCGAAAGCGUGGGGAGCAAACAGG